AUUGAACGCUGGCGGCAGGCCUAACACAUGCAAGUCUAACGAGUGGCGGACGGGUGAGUAAUGUCUGGGAAACUGCACGAUGGAGGGGGAUAACUACUGGAAACGGUAGCUAAUACCGCAUACCAUAGGAUGUGCCCAGAUGGGAUUAGCUAGGAGGUGGGGUAACGGCUCACCUAGGCGACAAUCCACAGCUGGUCUGAGAGGAUGACCAGCCACACUGGAAAUGAGACACGGUCCAGACUCCUACGUGAGGCAGCAGUGGGGAAUAUGGGACAAUGGGCGAAAGCCUGAUCCAGCCAUGCCGCGUGUGAGAAGAAGGUCUUCGGAUUGUAAAGCACUUUAAGUUGGGAGGCGUUACCAACAGAAUAAGCACCGGCGAACUUCGUGCCAGCAGCCGCGGUAAUAC
rnacentral:rRNA from 1 species